rnacentral:rRNA from 1 species
UACAGAGGUCUCAAGCGUUGUUCGGAUUCAUUGGGCGUAAAGGGGUGCGAGCAGGCUGCGAGGCAAGUCGGACGGUGAAAUCCCGGGGCUAACCCCGGAACCUGCGUUCGAUACUGCCUUGCUCGAGGACUGGAGAGGAGACUGGAAUUCCUGGUGUAGCAGUGAAAUGCGUAGAUAUCAGGAGGAACGCCAAUGGCGAAGGCAAGUCUCUGGACAGUUCCUGACGCUCAUGCACGAAGGCCAGGGG